rnacentral:rRNA from 1 species
UACAGAGGUCUCAAGCGUUGUUCGGAUUCAUUGGGCGUAAAGGGUGCGUAGGUGGCGGGGUAAGUCAGGUGUGAAAUCUCGGGGCUCAACCCCGAAACUGCACUUGAUACUGCCUUGCUCGAGUACUGGAGAGGAGAUUGGAAUUUACGGUGUAGCAGUGAAAUGCGUAGAUACCGUAAGGAAGACCAGUGGCGAAGGCGAAUCUCUGGACAGUUACUGACACUGAGGCACGAAGGCCAGGGGAGCAAACGGG